AACGUAGGGGGCGAGCGUUAUCCGGAAUCACUGGGCGUAAAGGGCGUCUAGGCGGUCCAGUAAGUCCUGCGUGAAAGCUCCCGGCUCAACUGGGAGAGCGCGUGGGAGACUGUUGGGCUAGAGACUCGGAGAGGGGUGUGGAAUUCCCGGUGGAGUGGUGAAAUGCGUUGAGAUCGGGAGGAACACCAGUGGCGAAGGCGACUACCUGGCCUGUUCUUGACGCUGAGGCGCGAAAGCUAGGGGAGCAAACGGG
rnacentral:rRNA from 1 species